ACCGUGGAGGGUCAUUGGAAACUGGGGAACUUGAGUGCAGAAGAGGAGAGUGGAAUUCCACGUGUAGCGGUGAAAUGCAUAGAGAUGUGGAGGAACACCAGUGGCGAAGGCGACUCUCUGGUCUGUAACUGACGCUGAGGCGCGAAAGCGUGGGGAGCGAACAGGAUUAGAUACCCUGGUAGUCCACGCCGUAAACGAUGAGUGCUAAGUGUUAGAGGGUUUCCGCCCUUUAGUGCUGCAGCAAACGCAUUAAGCACUCCGCCUGGGGAGUACGGUCGCAAGACUGAAACUCAAAGGAAUUGACGGGGGCCCGCACAAGCGGUGGAGCAUGUGGUUUAAUUCGAAGCAACGCGAAGAACCUUACCAGGUCUUGACAUCCUUCGCUACUUCUAGAGAUAGAAGGUUCCCCUUCGGGGGACGAAGUGACAGGUGGUGCAUGGUUGUCGUCAGCUCGUGUCGUGAGAUGUUGGGUUAAGUCCCGCAACGAGCGCAACCCUUGAUCUUAGUUGCCAGCAUUCAGUUGGGCACUCUAAGGUGACUGCCGGUGACAAACCGGAGGAAGGUGGGGAUGACGUCAAAUCAUCAUGCCCCUUAUGACCUGGGCUACACACGUGCUACAAUGGAUGGUACAAAGGGCUGCAAGACUGCGAAGUCAAGCGAAUCCCAUAAAACCAUUCUCAGUUCGGAUUGCAGGCUGCAACUCGCCUGCAUGAAGCCGGAA
rnacentral:rRNA from 1 species